GUGAGACGUGAGUGUACUGGUAACUUUUCCUCGCCCGCUCGGUAGCGAAGUCCGGUGCGAUCCCGGCGCUGUCCCGCAACUGUGAUGGCCUGCUCAGCCCGAGCCGGUCGAGCCAGGUCGCCUUCCGCGCG
rnacentral:ncRNA from 2 species